CUGGUUGAUCCUGCCAGUAGUCAUAUGCUUGUCUCAAAGACUAAGCCAUGCAUGUCUAAGUAUAAAUGUUAUACAGUGAAACUGCGAAUGGCUCAUUAAAACAGUUAUAGUUUAUUUGAUAAUCGAAUUUACAUGGAUAACCGUGGUAAUUCUAGAGCUAAUACAUGCUGGUUAGCCUGACUUUUGAGGAAGGGCUGUAUUUAUUAGAUAACAAAUCAAUAUUCCCCGUGUCUAUUGUGAUGACUCAUAAUAACUGAUCGAAUCGCAUGGGCUUUGCCCGCGAUAAAUCAUUCAAGUUUCUGCCCCAUCAGCUGUCGAUGGUAGUGUAUUGGACUACCAUGGCUUUCACGGGUAACGGAGGAUUAGGGUUCGAUUCCGGAGAGGGAGCCUGAGAAACGGCUACCACAUCUAAGGAAGGCAGCAGGCGCGUAAAUUACCCAAUCCUGAUUCAGGGAGGUAGUGACAAGAAAUAACGGACCGGAGCGUUUGUUCCGGGAUUGCAAUGAGCUGAAUUUAAACCCCUUGACGAGGAUCAAUUGGAGGGCAAGUCUGGU
rnacentral:rRNA from 1 species